rnacentral:lncRNA from 1 species
CUAUACAAACACAGCCAUCAAAAAUAGACUCUAGGUAAAAGGGGAGGGUUGAGUGAGAUGGAAGCACCUAAUCCACCUGAGAAGCAGAAUACAGUUCAAACAUGUGCGGGUCCAAGCAUCCCCUACCUCCAUCCCAGCCAUAUCUGUCAGUAAAUACGAAACAAUGGGAAUUUGUAGCAAAGGAAGUUUAAAAGAAAGCAGCAAACAAUACUUACUUGGAAAUGCAAGCUUCAGGGACCUAUCACCCUCAUUUCAACACUAAAAAAUAAGAACUAUUCCAUACACAAGAGAACUCAACUGACAACUACCACAAGAGUAGGAUUAAGGGUUGAAGCUAGAUCGAGGAAGAUGAACAAAUGGAAUCCAGUGCCAAAAAGGUUAAAUUACUUAAUUUUGAGAGCUGUUAAUAGAAGGAAUUUGCAAUCUCCAGGGAACAAUGUUGAUGAUUCACAGAGAAAGCCUCACAAAUUGUUGAUUCAGAGAUGGCGGAUCCAUUUUUCACUUGAAACUAAGCUGGAACAGCGUAGAAGAUAACAACAUCAUUUAGGAAACCCUACAAACAUUUAUAUAUGUCUGGAUAUAGUAGGAUU